rnacentral:rRNA from 1 species
GACGAACGCUGGCGGCGUGCCUAAUACAUGCAAGUAGAACGCACAGUUUAUACCGUAGCUUGCUGCACCAUAGACUGUGAGUUGCGAACGGGUGAGUAACGCGUAGGUAACCUGCCUGGUAGCGGGGGAUAACUAUUGGAAACGAUAGCUAAUACCGCAUAAUAUUGAUUAUUGCAUGAUAAUUGAUUGAAAGAUGCUAUUGCAUCACUACCAGAUGGACCUGCGUUGUAUUAGCUAGUAGGUGAGGUAACGGCUCACCUAGGCGACGAUACAUAGCCGACCUGAGAGGGUGAUCGGCCACACUGGGACUGAGACACGGCCCAGACUCCUACGGGAGGCAGCAGUAGGGAAUCUUCGGCAAUGGACGAAAGUCUGACCGAGCAACGCCGCGUGAGUGAAGAAGGUUUUCGGAUCGUAAAGCUCUGUUGUAAGAGAAGAACGGGUGUGAGAGUGGAAAGUUCACACUGUGACGGUAUCUUACCAGAAAGGGACGGCUAACUACGUG